ACUCCUACGGGAGGCAGCAGUGAGGAAUAUUGGUCAAUGGACGCAAGUCUGAACCAGCCAUGCCGCGUGAAGGAUGAAGGCCUUCUGGGUUGUAAACUUCUUUUAUCAGGGAAGAAAUUACGGUUUCUACUGUAACCGACGGUACCUGAGGAAUAAGCACCGGCUAACUCCGUGCCAGCAGCCGCGGUAAUACGGAGGGUGCAAGCGUUAUCCGGAUUCACUGGGUUUAAAGGGUGUGUAGGCGGGCUAUUAAGUCAGUGGUGAAAUCUCCGGGCUCAACCCGGAAACUGCCAUUGAUACUAUUAGUCUUGAAUUUGUUGAGGUAGGCGGAAUAUAUCAUGUAGCGUGAAAUGCAUAGAUAUGAUAUAGAACACCGAUUGCGAAGGCAGCUUACUAAGCAAAUAUUGACGCUGAGGCACGAAAGCGUGGGGAUCAAACAGGAUUAGAUACCCUGGUAGGC
rnacentral:rRNA from 1 species